rnacentral:rRNA from 1 species
UACGUAGGGUGCGAGCGUUGUCCGGAAUUAUUGGGCGUAAAGCGCAUGCAGGCGGAUUGUUAAGUCGGGGGUGAAAUCCCGAGGCUCAACCUCGGAACUGCCUUCGAUACUGGCAAUCUUGAGUCCGGGAGAGGUGAGUGGAACUGCGAGUGUAGAGGUGAAAUUCGUAGAUAUUCGCAAGAACACCAGUGGCGAAGGCGGCUCACUGGCCCGGUACUGACGCUGAGGUGCGAAAGCGUGGGGAGCAAACAGG